AUCCAGCUAACGAGUCCCAAAUAGGACGAAACAUGAGUCCUGGAU
rfam:Schistosoma mansoni strain Puerto Rico chromosome 1, complete genome